AAAGUACUCCCUCCGUCCCAAAAUUCUUGUCUUAGAUUUGUCUAGAUACGGAUGUAUCAAGUCACAUUUUAGUAUUAGAUACAUCCGUAUCUAGACAAAUCUAAGACAAGAAAUUUGGGACA
rnacentral:pre_miRNA from 1 species